rnacentral:rRNA from 1 species
GACGAACCGUGCGAACGUUGUUCGGAAUCACUGGGCUUAAAGGGCGCGUAGGCGGUCUCCCCCGUCCGGGGUGAAAUCUUUCGGCUUAACCGGAAAAGGGCCCUGGAAACAGGGAGACUGGAGGGGGAUAGGGGCGGACGGAACUUCCGGUGGAGCGGUGAAAUGCGUUGAUAUCGGAAGGAACGCCGGUGGCGAAAGCGGUCCGCUGGGUCCUCUCUGACGCUGAGGCGCGAAAGCCAGGGGAG